rnacentral:piRNA from 1 species
UCUCAAAGGCUGGAGUUGAGAGAUUGUGUC